AUUUGAAAGCAUACAAUCCAGUCCACCAUGGCAGAGAAGGCAGGGAAAUGCGAGGAGGCUGAAAACAUGGCAUCUGCAAGGUGGAGUCAGAACAGGGUCCAUAAAAGUCACCACUGAAAACAAAAAGUACAAAGCAGUCAGGACAAAGGGCUGAAUGCCAUCAAACCAAAACGGAAUGUAAGCCACCAAGUACUGUGACCAAAGUUGGCAAACAAUGCAAAGGAGGAGAAUUUGGUUUGAAAGGGGGAACUGAACUCAACCAGGAAGCUAGGAGGGAAAGAAGGAUAGAGGGGAGAGAAAGAGAUAAUCUAUCCGCAAAUCUAAUUUCUACUGACAAACAGCCACCAACCCACCUGAAUGACCAACAACCAUCAACCUCACCUCUCAGGAGAGAGAUGUCUCCAAAAAGCUUCUGCUGGUGUACUGCAGUUUCUUGCCACUUCCAAGGGCUCAGGCUGAUUGGCAGACUGAUUUCAGCUGAGACAGAUGCACUUGCUGAGGCAAGACCCGUGGAGGACACGUGAUGCUUGAAGGGCAUAGAAAGGACUCAUCAGAGUGAGUGAUAGGAACUAGCUUGGCUUAUUUGCAGAGCUAGCUGUGCAACUCUUGUUGGUAGUGCCACCUCUGCUGAUUCAUGUUUGAUAUCCAAAUUCUACUGAACUGGACUGCUGGUGUAUCUGUGAAGUGUUUCUGAGUGGAUUGAGCUGUUGCCAUUGGCCUGUGAACUGAACUGCUGAUUUCCAGACAACACAGAUGAGAGUUGCUUCAAAGAACCCUUCCUAAACAGGUGACAGUUCAUGAAAGCUCCAUUCGUGGACGUCUACGCACAACUUGAUGGUCACUCAACAGAGCCAAGAAUCUCCUCUUGACAGUGCUGUUGGUUAGUCUCAUCACUCAACAGUUGUUUCCUGUUCAACAAGUUGGUCUCAUGAGCCUCCGCCUUCCUCCUAUAGAUUAUGUUUCAAUUUGAGAUACCAUACAGCAGCAGAGGCAGACCUGAUAGAUCUUCACUUGCUGACAUCCACUUCCUAACUUGCUGCCUCACCCUUUGACAAGCAUGAUGUCCCAGCCAGAAGAGGAUGUUCAUCUACUACCCACUUCAAAGUACUGAUGUAUGCUAAGGGUUCAAUAAACAUCUGAAAAUAUUCAUCGCU
rnacentral:lncRNA from 1 species